CUACGGAACCAAAAAUUGGUUCCCGGAGCCCUUUUUUGUUGCCCCGCGAGGCUCCGCUCGCGCGCGCGAACCCGCGAAGCUUCUCUCCUCUCUAGCGUCCGUUCCCAGUCUUUCGUCCGCAGCAGUCAUUCCUAGGCAGCUUCCAGCAGUGCCUUGUGAGCGUGGAUGUAGUCUCCCUAGAAGUUCCUAAAAAGGAAAAUGCCGUAGAAUUUGUCAAACAUUUUUCUUCGUACUUUCCACUUACAGAAUGGAACAAUAUCAUCACUGCUGGCACUUCAAUCGAUAUCUUAGCCGAGUUUCAUGGGAGAAUAAGGAAGCUGCAGAAUCAUUAGCUUGUUUGUGAGGAUGUUAAUAUUAACGGUAUCCAGUAGUUUUGGUGUUCAACAAGGUAGAAGGUUGCACUUUGGGUUGCAGGAAUCCAACGAUUUCCUCUCACAUUUCAUGGACUGAACUCUCUUUUGAAGAUGGAGAGACGAAAGGUGACACUUAUAGUGCGCCAUCUCCCAGAAGCUAUACCCCAGGAGACACUCUUCCGCCUCUUCUCUCACUAUGGUGCUUGCGGGCUGCGGCCUUGUGCUGGUGGGAAGUUGAGGAACAGUGCGUUUGUAGAUUUCAAUGAUGAAGUUUCAGCUUUACAGGCACAACAACAACUAAACAGAUUGAGGUUUCUUGGAAAAGUUUUAUCUGUGGAACGAGUGAACACACUGACUUCGAAUGAGAAGGAAAUGGCUGAAAAACAGCACAGAAAAGAUGCAUUUUCACCUACAUCUACAUCAAAGGAGCUUACUGUGCCUGGGAUUGUUUCUGUUCCUGGGUCCACCCCAAAUGCUGUGAAAAUCGGUGAACCAAUUGCUCCUAGACUUGGUGUAGACUAUCCAUUUCCUCCACACCUCGAGUAUGCUUACCCGCCUCCAGAUGGAAAUAUACUAACCAAUAUUGUUAAUGCUCUUAUAGCUGUCCCACGAUUCUAUACACAGGUUCUGCAUUUGAUGAACAAAAUGAAUCUUCCAGCACCAUUUCGUGCAGCUUUACCCACACCACCUUUUCCACCCUCGGAACCUGCUCCUCCACCACCACCCCCACCCCCACCUGCUGUGGCAGGAAAACCUCCUUUAGCUGAUCUAUCCAGUGAUGAGUCAGAGCUGGAGUCUUCAGAUGAGAGUGACAUUGAUCAGAAAAAAUCCGGUGCUGUAUUUCCUGGGAAGCGUCGGAAUAGGAAAAAAGCUAAACAUGAGGCUAUCAUUGGUCCUGCUGUUGAUAAGGAUGUAUCACAUGAGGCUGCUGGUGUGAAGCCUGUCACCUUAGUUCCAAAAGAGCUUCCAACCAUUAAAAAGAAAAAUCCUGUUCUGCAGAUAAAGAUUGCUCCCAAGCCUGUAAAAAGUGAAAAAGGAGAAGCUAAUGAUGGUUCAGGAACUUUAGAUCACGACAAAGAGGAAGUUGAAGUUAAACAUUUUGCAAGUCUUCAAGAAAUUGAAACUGGAAAAUUACCUCCCGAGGAAAUAUUAUCACUUCCAAUGUUCAAGAAUUAUACUCCUGGUGAUCCUUCUCCUGUAUUAUACAUAAAGAACUUGGCAAAGGAUGUAGUUGCUGAUGAUUUCUACUACAUUUUCGGAUCAUUUUUUGGUAGUGUUGAAGCCGUCAAAUCUGGAAUCAGCAUCAAGCUGAUGCAGGAGGGGAGAAUGAGGGGUCAGGCUUUUGUGACAUUUCCUUCAAUAGACCUUGCACAGCAAGCGUUGGUGGCAGAAUCACGUUGUUGUUCACGAAGACGUCGUCACCGAACCCCGCCUUCAAGAUUUGGGCAUGGAGCUGCGAGCCCUCGGAUGCAGCGAAAAUGAAGGCACGUGCCUUGAGGGCGAAAGGAAAUGAGAAGUUGUCAAAGCAGCAGCCGUCUCGCAACAUUUGCAUUAUUGAGGAUAAACGAGUUUAAACGAGCCGCCCGAGUCGAGCUCGAGCUCGAAGGCAGUCGCUCGAGUCGAGUUCGAGUUGAAGUUGUGAAGCUUGUGUUGAGCUCGAGCUGACUAAACAUGAGUGGAGCCGAGCUCGAGCUUGAGUCGACUCGUGUGCAGCCCUACAUAUGCAAAUAAAGCAGUGCAUGGAUUUCUUUUCAAAGGUAAGCCUAUCAUAAUUCAGUUUGGCCGUAAUACAUCACAAACCAAAGCACAGUAAUUUGGAGGAAGAGAUGGCAUCAUCAGGUACACUUGAACAAGCGCGUCUGCUCUCAUGUGAUGCCUUGCUCCUCGAGGCAUGGGCAUCAUAUAGGCGCACACAGGCAUGUAAAAAGUUAACUGUCGUAAAAAACUCGGUGGAUGCUUGCAAUAUCUUAGAUUCUUCUCUAGUUAAAUGCAUUCAACCAUUUCAUA